rnacentral:lncRNA from 1 species
UGCGUCACUACAUAUGACCUGUGGUGGGCGAGCAUGCAAGCGACGAGAACACGGAACCAGAACGCACUGGAAGCUGGCUCGGCGACCACGGCCAGAGCCGAAAGCUCAGUUCAAGU